UGGUCCCUCUGGGCCCUUGGGUCGAUGUACCCUUUAUGUUUAUUUAUGUUAUUUAACAUAAACAAACACAAAGGGUGCGUCAACCCAUAUCCCCCUGUGACCAUUGAGCAACUUAAGAUAUCCGUGUACACAUGCUGAUAUACAUAUGUAGGAUAUACUGAUAUGUGUAUACAAAAAUCAGUGUGCACAUAUACAGAUAUACAUUUAUAUGAUCAUUUUUUAUACAUCGAUAUUCAUGUAUGAAAAAUUAUCAUAUACGUGUAUGUACGUGCAUAUGUUAAUAGCAGAGUAAACAUAUGCAAGUAUACAUAUAUGCCAUGUUGUGAUAUGUGUAUGUGUGUAUGCUUAUAUCACAUACGCUGAUAUAUACUGAUAUAUACAACCACAUCUACUGUGUGUGCAUGUACUGACAUGGCCUAGCUGUAAGUUGUUGCAUGAUGAUAUGCCAUGCUGCAUAGUUGACACAGGUGUUAGGGAAGUUUUCGUUUCAGUGUUUUUACUUCUGAAUCCAGAUGCAAUUUCUCAUGGAUAUGAUUUAAUAAGUUGUAUAAACACUUUUAGAUAUUGGUUUGUGUGUUAUGUUGCUGUUAACAUUGUGACAGUCUGGGGUGCUGGUGUAUCUUACUGUUGUAACAUUUACCUCAUCUGUUUGGUUGGUGAAACAUUGUGACUCUCAAGGGUCAAGACAUUUCGGUAUGUCUGUUUACAAGUUCAGAGAGCAACACUAAGCUGCAUAUCUUAUUACAGUAAACUACAGCUAUAAUGAACUCAAAGGGACUAAAUUUAGUUCACUGUAACUGCAGUUUGUUAUACACAUUUCAACUAAAACAUACAGUAAGUGGACAAGACCAAAAAAUCAGUUUGUUAUACCCAGUUUGUUAUAAGCGUGGUCAUUAUCAAUGCAGUUAACUGUAUGUUGAGAUCUUUCUUUUUGCCUUGCAUGCAUAACAAGAUCUGGAUUUAUCAUCACUCUAACAAUUAAUUGCCAUGCAAGAAUUAAGUAAUGUCAUAAUGUACCUGCUUCCUGAACACGAUACACUAAUCUCCUGAUACAGUAUGUGUCCUGAUGACCUCACGCUUUUGAUGCAAUAUGCGUCAAAAUACAGACUUAAAAAAGACCCAUUUUUCAGGAAUUUCAAUACAGAUAGAUAUUCAGAAAUCAAAAUGAAACAAACUGGUCUAAGAAUACCAUGUUACAUAUUUGCUACAAUCAGUGAGGUUCUUCCUUUAUGCUUUUUUUUAACUGGAACUGGCCUUAUCCGCUUUACCAUUAAUGGAUAUUUGAUUCCCAAAACAUUUUGGUAUUGACACAAGUCAAAUCAUAUUGUGAUAUUAAGAAGGAAGGAACCAGUUGGGACAAGAGAAAUCACCAAUCUGAGGAAUAUCUACAUCUGAAAUCCUUUCUGGGCCAGUAAUAAGUUAUCAGUUUGGUGUAGUAUUGAAUAUAAGAAUCAUCCAAAUUAUAAACAUCAACUAUAGAUUGCAUCUGAACCUUAGGGAGCUGUAUACUCUAUCAUAGUGUCAUGGUGUACAUACUGUGUGAUCAUGGACAUUAGACACCUCCUAUACCUAGGUUGACCUCAGCAUAAUCUUCAACACCUAUACAUCGUGUUCCAGUUCUAUCCAUGCCUAUCUUUUCCAGCAUUCUGUAGUAAUCAAUAUCUAGAUGAACAUUUGGCAUCAAUCUCAAACAUUCUGACCUAGGUGGCAAAUAUCGCAUCAUUCUGUGGAAAUCCAUACCAAGAUGACCAUAUUGACAUUAUUGUCCAAGAUCACAAUCUUGGUAUCAUUCUUUUAACAAUCCAAUACCCAGGUGACCAUCUUGGUAUCAUUCUUAUAACAGUCCAAUACCCAGAUGACCAUCUUGGUAUCAUUCUUAUAACAGUCCACACUUUGGUGAUCAUCUUGGCAUCCUGCUCCAACAAUCCACAAGAAGGUGACCACUCUGUUCUCAUAAGGGCAUCAUUUUUUUAUGUGUUUCAUGUAGCCACCAAAUUCUAACAUGGUUCGGUCAGUUGAGAAAACAAAAUUAAUAAACACAACAUUAUUUGAAUAAUGUUCUUGAUUCUCAUUUAUUGUAAUUCUUAUUACAAUUUCUCGCUUUCUUUGGACUUGUGGCAGCGACUGAUUGAAGGAUAAACAUUUUAUAUGAUGAGGCGUUACGUUUUAGGUUUGAGUUGGCGCUUUGUUAUCACUCUCAUGACAAUCCAUACGUAGGUGGCCAUUCUGUAAUGAUUUCUCUAACAAUGCAUACCAGUGUGAUAUACUUAGGUAACAUGAUGCCAUAAUUCUCCAACAAUCCAUAUCUAGUUAAAGAUUUUGAUUUUAUUUCCUAACAGUGCAAACUUAGGUGACCAUUUUUGCAUCAUCAUUCUAUCCUACAUGGCACAGUCUAUAUCUGUGCUACCUUAUAUCUAUAUUUACCUUAUUACAUCAUCAGUAGUAUCUUCUCUUAAACAUAGGUAGCUUAUAUAGAAUAGUCCUUAUUACAGGGUAUUUGUAGAUGAAACAGUUCAUUUGUAAGACAAUCUAAACUUCCAUUCUCUCUUCCUUCCCCUCACCUAGACUAGGGUAUGCCUCACAAGUAGAAGUGUUUCACAUCCCUCAACAGUGUUACACUGGAGUGUAGUGAUUAUACAGCUGUGGAAUAAUACAUGCAGUGUUAGAGAGUAGUGAUUAUACAGCUGUGGAAUAAUACAUGCAGUGUUAGAGUGUAAUGAUUAUACAGCUGUGGAAUAAUACAUGCAGUCAGAGCACAGUAAUUAUGCAGCUGUGGAAAAAUAGUUCCUGUGUUAGUGCUGUGUUAUGAUUUACAUAAGUACCAUGUAUCAAAGAAUAAACAAGAAAUAGUAUACCAUUUUGGCAAUUGUUCAUGUAACUCUCAGCUCAGUUGUCAUAUCCUGGUAGAAUGAGAUCAGAUUCAUAUCCUGAUAUUUACAUAACUAACCAUAGAUUUAUAUUUACCUAAAUAUUCAUUAUUUUUAAAUAUUUACCUAAGUGUUCAUCUAGCAAUUACAUAACACAUAUCAACAUAUCCACACAUUCAUGUGUAAUCUACUGAAGUAUACAUUCCAUCUUGUAUUAUAAUGUUAAUUCACUGGUUUUUAAACAGUUCGUUGUUUUGAAGAUUCAGAUGAGAAAUUUCAGUAUAUUCUUUCUAAGUGAAUCAUUCAGGAAAUGAUAUUAAGAUUCCGCAUGCAACUUUAGGUAGAAACCACUAACAUUCUUGAGGUCUGUAUUACACAUAUCCUGGCUGUAUUAUCUGACAGUCUAGUGUGUAGUGUUGAGGGGAACCAACUGAGCACUGUCCCACUGUAUUGUAGGAACCUAUGCAAUCUAGUUAGUCAGUUGAUACAGGUGUACAGAUACUCUCAGCAUUAUGUGGGUGGUGUCCUUCACUAUGUUUGUUGGGAAUGUCGGGACUCAUGUUUGUCUCUGGUAUGGUGGUAUCUUCUUCCAAGUAGGAGUUAUGGUUUAAGGACUGCUUCCCUUUCAUGAAACAGGGAGACACAUGCAUGCAGAUGUUGCUAGGUAGGCCACACAGGAGACUGUGAAACACUUCUAAUGACAACAUUGUGAUUGGAUUGGAUCACAUGAUCAAGUCAUGUGACCUCUGACCUGAAAGCUGAACUGUGACCUAGCCACAUCCAGAUUAUAUUUUUAUAUUACAAGGCUACAGCUAGUCUUUAUGAUUGCAUCAUGUUAGACUGAAUAAAUCUGUUGACAUAUU